AUUGAACGCUGGCGGCAUGCCUUACACAUGCAAGUCGAACGGUAACAGGUCUUCGGAUGCUGACGAGUGGCGAACGGGUGAGUAAUACAUCGGAACGUGCCCGAUCGUGGGGGAUAACGAAGCGAAAGCUUUGCUAAUACCGCAUAAUCUCGCGAGAGUAAAGUGGCGCCGCAAGGGCUACCGUCCAAGGAUUGGCCCAUGUCCCAUUAGCUAGUUGGCGGGGUAAUGGCCCACCAAGGCAACGAUGGGUAACUGGUCUGAGAGGAUGAUCAGUCACACUGGAACUGAGACACGGUCCAGACUCCUACGGGAGGCAGCAGUAGGGAAUAUUGCACAAUGGGGGAGACCCUGAUGCAGCAACGCCGCGUGAGUGAAGAAGGCCCUUGGGUUGUAAAGCUCUUUAGCGUGGGAAGAAGGUAGAUAUGGUGAACAAUCAUGUUUGCUGACGGUACCACGAGAAUAAGCACCGGCUAAUUUCGUGCCAGCCGCCGCCGUAACAC
rnacentral:rRNA from 1 species